rnacentral:rRNA from 1 species
AGCUCUGCUAGCGUAUAUUAAAGUUGUUGCAGUUAAAAAGCUCGUAGUUGAAUUUCUGGUAGGAGUGAUCGGUCCAUCACAAUGUGUUGGUACCUGGUUGUCUCCGGCCAUCCUUGGAAAGAACCUUCAUGGCAUUAGGUUGUCGAGUUGGUAAUUUCCAUCGUUUACUGUGAAAAAAUUAGAGUGUUCAAAGCAGGCUUAUGCCAUUGAAUAUAUUAGCAUGGAAUAAUAAGAUAGGACCUUGGUACUAUUUUGUUGGUUUGCGCAUCAGGGUAAUGAUAAAUAGGGACAGUUGGGGGUAUUUGUAUUCAAUUGUCAGAGGUGAAAUUCUUGGAUUUAUGGAAGACAAACGACUGCGAAAGCAUUUACCAAGGAUGUUUUCAUUAAUCAAGAACGAAAG